AUGUGCCACUCGUACACUCCGGCUCCUUCGCGCCGUCCGCACCCACCUGACGACUGCCCGCUACGUUUGUUAGCC
rnacentral:sRNA from 2 species